UGAUAAACUGGCAAUUUUAUUAGGAGAGGGACAAUCAGCGUCCACUUCAGCUGGUGUGUGUAUGUGUGCCAUGCACUCCACAUGGGACAAUCUCUGCACUAUAGGUCCUGCAGAAGAUGGUCCUCAUGGAAUUCUUCUGGGAGAUGGAGCUUAACUUACAGUAUACAGUAUCCUACACUAAAUCAACAUCCUCUAGCUGACCCUGGAUGACCAAAGAAGGAAGUGACAAUGGCAGGAAGAAACUGUCUGAGAUAACAGAGGGAAGAAACCAUGAAGGGAGCCCUUCAUCUGGACUGAAACUGGAUCAGCCAUAGAGGAAAGUUACAACAGCAGCAAUUUUCACGUUUUAUUUGCAUUAACCGUGUAAGAUGCAGACAUGUAAGAAACAGAGUACUGGUGAUGUACUGAAAAAAAGAAUAACUUACUCAGUACUUUAAAGGGUUCUGAAACUUCCUUACUUAAUUUAAAUGAUUUUGCUAUGUGAUUAAAUCCUUCAGUAUGCCUUUACCUGAAUUUCCAUUGAUUGUGAUUGGUGGUUAUUCACUGUUAUUGACUAACCCUGUUCUGUUAGGCUUUGGCCAGAUGUAAGAGGAAAUGUCUGUUAAAAUAUACAUUAGAAACAUUUUACCUAUGAUUACUGGAAUAGAGAAUGCUUUACAUUACUUAGCUACCUAAUAAUCAGUACCAAAGGCAUUUAGAUUUGGCUGGGUAGUAUGUGUGUGAUGUGCUCAGUGUCCACUGAAAUAACCUGGUCUGGCUGAUAGAGGGAGUACAGCUAUAGAUCUGUGGCCAGUGUGGGUACGCUGAACACCACCUGACCAGGCCGCACUAUAAACAACAGACACGGCAACACGCAUGCUGUCACCUAACCCUAACUGAAACACAGACAGAUAGACAGAGAAAGAGAUACACACAGAGACAGG